rnacentral:lncRNA from 10 species
GGGAGACCGGGUGGUCCCCUGGUGAGGGGGGCAGGGCAGUGUCCAGGUGCCAGCAGUGGGGUGCCCAGGUGUGGGCAAGGAGUGGUAUCCAGGUGCCCAGGUGCUGUGCCCAGGUGCAGCUUGGCUGCAGGAGCCAAGUGAUGAGGGUGCUGUGUGGGGAGAGGCGAACUGAUUUCUGCAAGAGAAAGUAAACUUCCUUCUUCCAUGCAGAUGAAUAAGAUAGAAUUAAUUAUAUAGAUUAUAAUUAUCUAGUUAUAGAGAUAAGAAUACGUUUUAUUCUUUAGUUAAGGGCUCCCAGUUAAAACUAGCUGAAAACAAUGACAGCUAAAUUCUAUAUUAUGAGAUGUUGGCUACUUAUUAAAUUCAUUAUCAAAAAUAUAUACAUACAUAUUUGCAGUCCAAUUGCAUUUCAUAGAGCACAGACCUGAGCAGCACCUAGCAAGGGCAAGUGUGCACGAGACACUUGUUCCGCAAUUUUGUACCUUUCUGUUUCUAAUGGCCCAACUGGUCAACUGUGGCAGGGCGAUCAUGAACCUCAUACAACAGCAGAAGUGCUGGAAAUUUUAACUAUUUAAUUUUAGGCUUAGACUUAGCUAUAAAUGCUUUCUGAUGAGAAGUUCUGUCUUUUCCUUGAAUGAUUUCACUUCAUUUCGUUUUAUGUAGUCUCCAUUCAGUCAUGAAUAUCUUCCCCAAAGUACCUUUGUAAAUCAUUUUUUUUUUUAAAUGCUGUAGUUUACUUGUGACAAGCUAUAAACUGUAUUUGAAUUUUUAGGUUAAGUAAGAAACCCAUUUUAUCUAAUAUUGCAGCAAAAAAAACAGAACAGUUCCAAGAAAAAGAGGAUAAAGUACUUGUUAUUCUAGUGAUAAUACAACUGAAUAAGAAAGAUUUUCUUUUUCCUUUUUAGUCUUGAGUUCAUGAGCUUAGGGAAAGCAGGCUUCCCUCUGCUUCUGGCAGCCUUGGCCAUGGGGUCUUCACUCUCCUGUUUGGGCCUCACCUUGCAGGGACUCCUCACCUUGCAGGGGCCAUCCAUUCCAUCUGCCUUCCAGUGUCAGCCCAGGCCUCCUGUCUUCCCCUUCUCAGGCCCUCCUGGUGGGAUCCCAUCGCAUCCCCUGCCUCCACUGUCAUCUGCUCCACGUGGUAUCUCCAGGGGGACCUCUCUGCUGGGCUCCAGGCCGCAUAGCUGUGGGUGGCCAGCACGAUGUCCCACCAGGACCCCUGCAGUCCCAGUGCCCCCGCCUGGUCAUCCGGGGACCUUCCUCACUGCCUGCUGCCUGCACUGUGUGGAAGGACAGAGGCUAAACGAGGAAGCCUGGAACUCUGGUCUCAUGGACAUGGCAGCCUGCCCACCACCCACGCCUGCCCAGCCUUUCUUCACGCAGCGCUUAAAACGUGGAGAGCGGAAUCUUCUGGGCCCAGGUAACACACCUUUGCUCCGACAUUCCCUUCACUACUCACUGGCAAGCUCAGUUGGAAAUUCGCUCCCAGUAGGAGGUUCCGCAGCAGACACAUGGGGCCCUGUCACCUGUGCGUUGCCCUGGAAGGGGCGGCCUCAGCGUCACAUGACGCAAACACCACCCUGCUGCCUCGUGGCUCUUGUGCACUUCUCUCGUGUCCCAAACCGAUGGUUCCCGGAGCGAAGUGGCUGA